rnacentral:tRNA from 4 species
GCGCUCGUGGCGUAAUUGGUAGCCGCGCCAGACUUAGGAUCUGGUGACUUCCGUCGUGGGGGUUCGAGUCCCCCCGAGCGCACAA